rnacentral:rRNA from 1 species
GACGAACGCUGGCGGCGUGCUUAACACAUGCAAGUCGAACGGAAAGGCCUGCUUUCCCUUGUGGAUUGCGGGUACUCGAGUGGCGAACGGGUGAGUAACACGUGAGUGAUCUGCCCCCAACUUGGGUAUAAGCCUGGGAAACUGGGUCUAAUUCCCGAUAGGACUGCAGGGUGGUGCCUGUGGUGGAAAACGAUUUUCUAGUGGUUGGGGAUGAGCUCGCGGCCUAUCAGCUUGUUGGUGGGGUAAUGGCCUACCAAGGCGGCGACGGGUAGCCGGCCUGAGAGGGUGGACGGCCACAUUGGGACUGAGAUACGGCCCAGACUCCUACGGGAGGCAGCAGUGGGGAGGAUUACACAGUGGGCGGAAGCCUGAUGCAGCGACGCCGCGUGGGGGAUGACGGCCUUCGGGUUGUAAACUCCUUUCGACCGAGAGGAAGCCACCUGGUUGGAAGGGUGGUGACGGUAGUGGUAGAAGAAGCACCGGCUAACUACGUG